GACGAACGCUGGCGGCGUGCCUAAUACAUGCAAGUAGAACGCUGAAGAGAGGAGCUUGCUCUUCUUGGCUGAGUUGCGAACGGGUGAGUAACGCGUAGGUAACCUGCCUUGUAGCGGGGGAUAACUAUUGGAAACGAUAGCUAAUACCGCAUAACAAUGGAUGACACAUGUCAUUUAUUUGAAAGGGGCAAUUGCUCCACUACAAGAUGGACCUGCGUUGUAUUAGCUAGUAGGUGAGGUAAUGGCUCACCUAGGCGACGAUACAUAGCCGACCUGAGAGGGUGAUCGGCCACACUGGGACUGAGACACGGCCCAGACUCCUACGGGAGGCAGCAGUAGGGAAUCUUCGGCAAUAGGGGCAACCCUGACCGAGCAACGCCGCGUGAGUGAAGAAGGUUUUCGGAUCGUAAAGCUCUGUUGUAAGUCAAGAACGGGUGUGAGAGUGGAAAGUUCACACUGUGACGGUAGCUUACCAGAAAGGGACGGCUAACUACGUG
rnacentral:rRNA from 1 species